ensembl:lncRNA
CUCUGUGGAUGUGCAACUUAUGAAGUGUAAAGCUUGAAGACAUGGUUACUAAAUUAAUGUGUAUUGAAGACUCCCAGUCAGUUUUACUGAGCUGUAAUGAUGUAACUUCUUUCAGAUGAAAGAAGUACCCGGGUUCCAGGCCCUAAUCAUUGUUUGUUGAUGGCUUCAAGACACAACUGGAUGGGGUGCUAGAUAAUCUCACCUGAGCAGAUUUUCUAUAAAAGGCUGAACCAGGUGCUCUCUUUAGAUCAGUUCUUACUGGAGGUUGUUACAUGAUUCAUAGCAGCCUGAUAAGAAACCAGAAAAGCUAUGAGAAACACAGUCUUCAUUUUUACUGAGAUGUAGACACCACUGGUGAGGCUCCCAGCUAGUAAGACUCACUGAGCAGUUUGCAUCUUGACCAGGAUACCAUUUGGGUAGCCCAGUUCCAGAUGACAAAGAGCUUUCUCCUUUGCCACUAAUGAAAAUACUGAACACCUGCAGUGCCGCUGCAGCUCUUCCAGAUGAGGGAAUGUGGUGAAGAUCUCCUUGUGUAGGAGAGCUCUCUGAGGAUGGUCUGCUUCUCAUGGAACAACACCAAAAAACAUUUCUUCUGCAACGAUCUUCUGGAAACUUUGUUUGAUGAAUGCAUUCUGAUGCAGCCCUAAUGAUAGGACCUAAACAGUUCAUCAUAUAUUGGCAUCAGAAUUGAGUUUUAUUUCUCUUCACCUGGUUUUGUUUGAUGUCUGUGAAAGAGGAAGAGGACAUAAAAUACCACGCCAUCUCUGCAUAGAGAAUUGUUAUUAUGGAUGUAGGAACUCUAGGAUAGGAGGGUAGUAGCAUCUGGCAUUCUGUGUGUGUGUGUGUGUGUGUGUGUGUUUCUGAGUGCUUGAUGCAACAGGAGCUUUUACAACCACAUGACGGCGGCUGUACUCAAGUCAGCUUUACUUCUCAGUACUCAGUGCUGCCGUCUGAACGUUUUCCAAACAUAUGGGAAUAGGACACAAAUAACUAUUCUUUGACAGAUGGGUAGAACUUUACCACCGACUCUUAAAACUGCUUCAGGAAACUGGGAGAAGAAAACAAACAACAGCAACAACAAAAAUACUUCCGCCUGUGUUUAAAAGGAAAAGGAGAGACACCUAAUUUAAGGCUGCAUAAAGGCUCCCUGCAACAGACUUUGGAGUGAGGUCUUCGACCCAAGUGCAGAGUUGUAUUCUUUCACUAUUUUUUAGUUCCAGACUAGGCAGCCAUCUAUAACAGAGCUAGUGAUGGUAGAGGAAGAAAGAAUGGUCUGUUAAGUGGCAGCCCUUAAGCUACAUGCUUUUAGUAAGGCUGGAAGAGUCUACAGUUCAAGAGAACCUGCAAAAGUUGAAAGACUGAGAAGAUUUUAUCUUGUGACAUCAGUAAAUGUAAUGUCAUCUUUUUCCUCCCUUCUUUCUGAUGCUUUAACUUUUACUAAAGGUUGGACUGGAGUUGAUAGUCAUCUUUUUACCCACACUGGUAGAUGCUUUUGAAUUGUUCUGGAAGAGUAUUAAGAACACUUGUUUAUAUAUGUAUGUUUUCAAUGUAUGUUAGCCUCUACCUCUGUCAUAAUUCUUAAAUCAGACUGGACCCAUGACAGUAUUUUGCCUGCCUGAACACUCUCACUUUUCUGUUUUCACCUUUCUCUGAUAUCUCCUGCCCAUUUGUGAGGCACACUCUUACUUGAAAUUCUUACUGAAGAUGGGAGCAUAUCCUAAGCAUGAACGUUUUUUAAAUGACAUACCUUGGAAGAAAACCUGAAAAUCACACAGAGUGCAGUGUAAAGCCCAGAACACAAUUUAGUAGUGACUUUUAUCGGAAAGCUGACAUUGACCAUACCAUACUGAUUAGUACAUGCUCCCUGCAUAUCUUAAAGACAUUUCAAAGGCUGGAAUUUCACAGAUCUUUGGUAAUUGCCUACCUCUUGUCCAGCUGAUUCAAUGUCUGCAGAAUUAAUUUAUUUUCAGAGUUUGAAAUAUUUUAUCUAUAUCCCUCCUACUUGCUUGUAUUUCCACACGCCAAGGUGGACAGAAAUACUUUCUGCACUGUCUUUGAAAAUAAGCUUUUCAGUUGUUCAAAUUCUGUGCUGCAAAAUAAGAACUGGGAGAUAUAUGGUUGUAUGCAUGUGUACUUGUGUGGAACAUAUUUAACUGAUGAACACUGGGCAAAAAAAUGUGAGAGCUGGGCAGAUCUUACUCAGUGUUUCCUUUGGAGCUCAUUGCUUGGUUGCUAGGGUUUUUAUUGUUGUUGAUAACAUCACAAGUUCGGGUCUUCUUUGCUCUUUCUUUACCUCUAAGAUGCACUGGAUAGCUGAAGUCCUGCUGAGACCACAUCUGAAAUCAGACCUAAAGAGUCUUUGUUCAGCUGAGAACUUUACUGUCUCCCCCAGAGGACUGCACACAGCAUGGAGGAAAGCCUGUUCUCAUUGCACAAUGCCAACUUUUUCAAGUUGUGUUCUGAGGAUGUUCUCAUGCACAAAGUAAUUUCCAAGCUGUCUUCCACUGAAAUCAGAAAGCUAUGACCUUGCACUCCUGAACUCUUUUACUGAAAUUAAAAGCAUCAGAAAGAGGGGGAAAAAAAAGCCCAAACAUCAAAUCUUUUUCUCCCCUCUUUUGUGGAGUUGUCAUGCCUCAGUUGUAAAUUAAAAUUGUAGGACUUUUGAUGAGAAUGGAGCAUUUGGCUGCCUCAUUUCGUGCUAGAUCAGGAACAGCAAAGGAGAGCACUCGCUUUGCAUGGAUAGGGAUGGGGGCUGCUGCCCAGAAAUCUGCCAGUUCUCUUCUGCCUGUGCAGCCCGGUCCUUGGGCCCCUUUCAUCUCAGCCCCUGCUACAUGGUAACACCUGCUCUGGAGCUACACAGGGAGCGGAGCCGAUAAAGGUGGUGUUUUGCAGACCUGAGUGUGCUGGAGCGCCUUAGCUUUUUGGAUGGCCCUGCUUUCUCUGGCCCGGAUCCAAUACACCACUUAGACAUCUGCUUAACUUUAAGCAUAUGACAUCCGGGACACAAAGUGAGUGUAGUGCAUCACUGUGUGAAAACCAGAAAGUUUUGAAGAAAUAGCCGAUAGUCUCUUCUUAAU